UCCGGUUUGGCACCGGCAGUCUGACUAGAGUCCCCGACAUUACUCGCUGGCAACUAGUCACAAGGGUUGCGCUCGUUGCGGGACUUAACCCAACAUCUCACGACACGAGCUGACGACAGCCAUGCAGCACCUGUGCAGGAGUCCCGAAGGACACCCCGGGUUUCCCCAGGAUUUCCCCUGCAUGUCAAGCCCUGGUAAGGUGGGGAUGACGUGUAGGAGCUCGAC
rnacentral:misc_RNA from 1 species